rnacentral:rRNA from 2 species
UGGGGAGCAAACAGGAUUAGAUACCCUGGUAGUCCACGCCGUAAACGAUGUCGACUUGGAGGUUGUGCCCUUGAGGCGUGGCUUCCGGAGCUAACGCGUUAAGUCGACCGCCUGGGGAGUACGGCCGCAAGGUUAAAACUCAAAUGAAUUGACGGGGGCCCGCACAAGCGGUGGAGCAUGUGGUUUAAUUCGAUGCAACGCGAAGAACCUUACCUGGUCUUGACAUCCACGGAAGUUUUCAGAGAUGAGAAUGUGCCUUCGGGAACCGUGAGACAGGUGCUGCAUGGCUGUCGUCAGCUCGUGUUGUGAAAUGUUGGGUUAAGUCCCGCAACGAGCGCAACCCUUAUCCUUUGUUGCCAGCGGUCCGGCCGGGAACUCAAAGGAGACUGCCAGUGAUAAACUGGAGGAAGGUGGGGAUGACGUCAAGUCAUCAUGGCCCUUACGACCAGGGCUACACACGUGCUACAAUGGCGCAUACAAAGAGAAGCGACCUCGCGAGAGCAAGCGGACCUCAUAAAGUGCGUCGUAGUCCGGAUUGGAGUCUGCAACUCGACUCCAUGAAGUCGGAAUCGCUAGUAAUCGUGGAUCAGAAUGCCACGGUGAAUACGUUCCCGGGCCUUGUACACACCGCCCGUCACACCAUGGGAGUGGGUUGCAAAAGAAGUAGGUAGCUUAACCUUCGGGAGGGCGCUUACCACUUUGUGAUUCAUGACUGGGGUGAAGUCGUAACAAGGUAACCGUAGGGGAACCUGCGGUUGGAUCAC